rnacentral:rRNA from 1 species
AGAGUUUGAUCCUGGCUCAGGACGAACGCUGGCGGCGCGCCUAACACAUGCAAGUCGAACGAGAGAGAGGAAGCUUGCUUCCUCAAUCGAGUGGCGAACGGGUGAGUAACGCGUGAGGAACCUGCCUCAAAGAGGGGGACAACAGUUGGAAACGACUGCUAAUACCGCAUAUGCCCACAGCUCGGCAUCGAGCAGAGGGAAAGGGAGCAAUCCGCUUUGAGAUGGCCUCGCGUCCGAUUAGCUGGUUGGUGAGGUAAUGGCCCACCAAGGCGACGAUCGGUAGCCGGACUGAGAGGUUGAACGGCCACAUUGGGACUGAGACACGGCCCAGACUCCUACGGGAGGCAGCAGUGGGGAAUAUUGCACAAUGGGGGAAACCCUGAUGCAGCGACGCCGCGUGGAGGAAGAAGGUCUUCGGAUUGUAAACUCCUGUUGUUGGGGAAGAUAAUGACGGUACUCAACAAGGAAGUGACGGCUAACUACGUGCCAGCAGCCGCGGUAAAACGUAGGUCACAAGCGUUGUCCGGAAUUACUGGGUGUAAAGGGAGCGCAGGCGGGAAGACAAGUUGGAAGUGAAAUCUAUGGGCUCAACCCAUAAACUGCUUUCANACUGUUUUUCUUGAGUAGUGCAGAGGUAGGCGGAAUUCCCGGUGUAGCGGUGGAAUGCGUAGAUAUCGGGAGGAACACCAGUGGCGAAGGCGGGCUACUGGGCACCAACUGACGCUGAGGCUCGAAAGUGUGGGUAGCAAACAGGAUUAGAUACCCUGGUAGUCCACACCGUAAACGAUGGUUACUAGGUGUUGGAGGAUUGACCCCUUCAGUGCCGCAGUUAGCACAAUAAGUAAUCCACCUGGGGAGUACGACCGCAAGGUUGAAACUCAAAGGAAUUGACGGGGGCCCGCACAAGCAGUGGAGUAUGUGGUUUAAUUCGACGCAACGCGAAGAACCUUACCAAGUCUUGACAUCCUGCGACGCACAUAGAAAUAUGUGUUUCCUUCGGGACGCAGAGACAGGUGGUGCAUGGUUGUCGUCAGCUCGUGUCGUGAGAUGUUGGGUUAAGUCCCGCAACGAGCGCAACCCUUACUGUCAGUUACUACGCAAGAGGACUCUGGCAGGACUGCCGUUGACAAAACGGAGGAAGGUGGGGAUGACGUCAAAUCAUCAUGCCCUUUAUGACUUGGGCUACACACGUACUACAAUGGCGUUAAACAAAGAGAAGCAAGACCGCGAGGUGGAGCAAAACUCAGAAACAACGUCCCAGUUCGGACUGCAGGCUGCAACUCGCCUGCACGAAGUCGGAAUUGCUAGUAAUCGUGGAUCAGCAUGCCACGGUGAAUACGUUCCCGGGCCUGUACACACCGCCCGUCA